rnacentral:rRNA from 1 species
AGUCGAGGGAUCGGCCCUAUUUUACUUCGGUAAGCCAGGGUACGGACCGGCAAACGGGUGAGUAACACACUAGUAACCUACCUUCGAGACGGGCAUAACUCUGGGAAACCAGAGCUAAUACCCGAUGGUCAUGGGGGGACAUAUGUCAUUCCCAUGUAAAUCCUCCGGGGCUCGAAGAGGGGCUUAUGGCUGAUUAGCUAGUUGGUAGGGUAAUGGCCUACCAAGGCUCCGAUCAGUAGCAGGCGUGAGCGUGACCUGCCUCACUGGGACUGAGACACUGCCCAGACUCCUACGGGGGGCUGCAGUCAAGAAUAUUCCACAAUGCGCGAAAGCGUGAUGGAGCGACGCCGCGUGCAGGAAGACGCCUUUCGGGGUGUAAACUGCUUUUCUCAGGGACGAAUUCGUGACUGUACCUGAGGAAUAAGAGGUUGCUAACUCUGUGCCAGCAGCAGCGGUAAUACAGAGACCUCAAGCGUUAUCCGGAUUCAUUGGGCGUAAAGCGUCCGCAGGUGGUAUGACAAGUCGAUGGUCAAAUCUUCGGGCUUAACUCGGAGACUGCCGUCGAUACUGUCACACUAGAGGCUGGGAGAGGCAAGCGGAACUGCAGGUGUAGUCGUAAUAAGCGCUGAUAUCUGCAGGAACACCAAAGGCGAAGGCAGCUUGCUGGAACAUGCCUGACACUCAUGGACGAAAGCGUGGGUAGCGAAUCGGAUUAGAUACCCGAGUAGUCCACGCCCUANACGAUGUGCACUAGGUAUUGCGAGUAUCGACCCUCGCAGUGCCGUCGAAAAAAGCUAACGCGUUAAGUGCACCGCCUGGGGAGUACGGCCGCAAGGUUAAAACUCAAAGGAAUAG